CCUUAGCCCAGAUAGUAGUGGAAAUCCUUUUUUGAGGUUUUUACCGAAAAAAAGAUUACUUCACUAUACUUUUAUUUUCAUUGGAGUUCAGUGAACUUUGUUUGCAACGUAUAGCUGGAUUAGCU
rnacentral:sRNA from 1 species